rnacentral:rRNA from 1 species
AUUGAACGCUGGCGGCAUGCCUUACACAUGCAAGUCGAACGGCAGCACGGGUGCUUGCACCUGGUGGCGAGUGGCGAACGGGUGAGUAAUACAUCGGAACAUGUCCUGUAGUGGGGGAUAGCCCGGCGAAGGCCGGAUUAAUACCGCAUACGAUCUACGGAUGAAAGCGGGGGACCUUCGGGCCUCGCGCUAUAGGGUUGGCCGAUGGCUGAUUAGCUAGUUGGUGGGGUAAAGGCCUACCAAGGCGACGAUCAGUAGCUGGUCUGAGAGGACGACCAGCCACACUGGGACUGAGACACGGCCCAGACUCCUACGGGAGGCAGCAGUGGGGAAUUUUGGACAAUGGGCGAAAGCCUGAUCCAGCAAUGCCGCGUGUGUGAAGAAGGCCUUCGGGUUGUAAAGCACUUUUGUCCGGAAAGAAAUCCUUGGCUCUAAUACAGUCGGGGGAUGACGGUACCGGAAGAAUAGGCACCGGCUAACUACGUG